rnacentral:lncRNA from 1 species
UCUUAAUUAUAAGAAAUAUUGACGGGGGCCAAAAUUAGAAGUGUACCCUGCUACCUAAUUAUUGGAUAUCUAAUUUUCAGAUCCGGUUGUUGUAGCCAAAGCUCAGGUAUCUUGCAGCAGCCCUUAUCCACCAGGUCUUCAUUUACAUUUGAACUACAUACAGGAUUUGUCACAGCUCUAGAAGGAAGAAGGACUACAUAUCUGUGCAGAAGAAUCAGAAAACUACUCCAGACUUGUUGCCUUGACAGACGUUUAUUGGAAGUUUGAACAAUGACUGAAUACUUUAAUCUUUAGAAAUACAGAGCUGCCAAUGCUGUAAUUUUCUCCAUGUCCAAAAGUGUUUGUCUUCAACAGCAAACAAAGAGAAAGUGUACUGGGCCAACACCAUAAGAAGACAGUCUUGUUUGAUUUGUGUGUCUGUGGGUGAAAGGGACUACCUCGCAGAAGGAUGUUUUACAUUAAUAUUCUUAUAGUGGAUUUUGAUUACACUUGAAAGAAAUGUGUAUGUUUCAAGAAACAUGGAUUAGUUAGAAAUGUUGUUUGAUUUCCUGUCUGUCAUAAAAGUAAAAAAUUGGUUGUUUACAAACAACGGUGUACAAUAACUGAAAUGAUAAACUGUAUUUUAAGUAUUAUGAUUAAGUACAUUACAUUAAAUUCAUAUAUUCUUUGGAAAUUAAAGGAUGUGUCAGUUUC